rnacentral:lncRNA from 1 species
AGACGACACACUGACAAUUCAUCACAGAAAAAUAUCAAAAUCAGAGCAAAAUGACAAGACAUAAAGACGGCAGCGAGCAUGACUCUUCCCAUAGACUAGAACUGGAUGACUCGCAGAAGCUCACGAGAAAAGUCAGACUUCCGAGAAUACAACCAGGACCGACCAAAGGGGACAGACCUCCAAGACAUCACAAGAUAGAUGUAUUUGAUCUUAAGCAGUUCACAG